rnacentral:rRNA from 1 species
CGAACGCUGGCGGCAUGCCUAACACAUGCAAGUCGAACGAGACCUUCGGGUCUAGUGGCGCACGGGUGCGUAACGCGUGGGAACCUGCCCUUAGGUUCGGAAUAACUCCCCGAAAGGGGUGCUAAUACCGGAUAAUGUCUUCGGACCAAAGAUUUAUCGCCUUUGGAUGGGCCCGCGUUGGAUUAGCUAGUUGGUAGGGUAAAAGCCUACCAAGGCGACGAUCCAUAGCUGGUCUGAGAGGAUGAUCAGCCACACUGGGACUGAGACACGGCCCAGACUCCUACGGGAGGCAGCAGUGGGGAAUAUUGGACAAUGGGCGAAAGCAUGACCCAGCAAUGCCGCGUGAGUGAUGAAGGCCUUAGGGUUGUAAAGCUCUUUUACCCGGGAUGAUAAUGACAGUACCGGGAGAAUAAGCUCCGGCUAACUCCGUG